rnacentral:rRNA from 1 species
GGGGACGUCACAGGGGGCCCAUCGUCGUGUCAUGCAAAUGGCACGGCGGUGAGUCCCUGGGGCCCAGAUCGUUUACCGUGAAAAAAUUAGAGUGUUCAAAGCAGGCAGAUCCAAUUUUCUGCCACCGAAUACAUUAGCAUGGGAUAAUGGAAUAGGACCCUGUCCUCCUAUUUUCAGUUGGUUUUGGCAGCGCGAGGACUAGGGUAAUGAUUAAUAGGGAUAGUUGGGGGCAUUAAUAUUUAAUUGUCAGAGGUGAAAUUCUUGGAUUUAUGAAAGAUUAACUUCUGCGAAAGCAUCUGCCAAGGAUGUUUUCAUUAAUCAAGAACGAAAGUUAGGGGAUCGAAGACGAUCAGAUACCGUCGUAGUCUUAACCAUAAACGAUGCCGACCAGCGAUUAGGAGACGUUGAAUACAAAACACCACCAUCGGCGCGGUCGUCCUUGGCGUGUCUCGGCUUCACGGCCGGGGCGCGCGAGGGCGGUUUAGCCCGGUGGCACCGGUGAAUGACUCCCCUAGCAGCUUGUGAGAAAUCAUAAGUCUUUGGGUUCCGGGGGGAGUAUGGUCGCAAGGCUGAAACUUAAAGGAAUUGACGGAAGGGCACCACCAGGAGUGGAGCCUGCGGCUUAAUUUGACUCAACACGGGGAAACUUACCAGGUCCGGACAUAGUAAGGAUUGACAGAAACCUGCUAAAUAUGCCGCGCUAACCCGUCCAUCAAAACCCAUGCGUGGCUCACGCGGUCCGCUGCGGGGUGGUGUCGCUUCGCGGCGACGUCAUCCCGCCGGCAGGGCCCGGGUCCGUGUGGGCGGUAGGGUUCGGCGUCCGUGCUUCUUAGAGGGACUGCUGCGCGCCUAGCCAGCGGAAGUUUGAGGCAAUAACAGGUCUGUGAUGCCCUUAGAUGUUCUGGGCCGCACGCGCGCUACACUGAUUAAUCCAACGAGUCCGCUUCAAUCGAGGCGUGACUUAUAUGGGGUCAAACCUAUGUAGGUCGCUGUCCUUGAUCGCGCCUGGGCCGAUAGGUCCGGGUAAUCUUUGCAAAUUUAAUCGUGCUGGGGAUAGAUCAUUGUAAUUAUUGAUCUUCAACGAGGAAUUCCUAGUAAGCGCGAGUCAUCAGCUCGCGUUGAUUACGUCCCUGCCCUUUGUACACACCGCCCGUCGCUCCUACCGAUUGAAUGGUCCGGUGAAAUCCUCGGAGCCGUGGCCUCUACGCAAUCCGGGCAACCGGGUUGUGAGGUCUCCCCAUUUGGCGGCGAAGUCGAUUGAACC